GUAAUGCCUAGGAAUCUGCCUGGUAGUGGGGGACAACGUUUCGAAAGGAACGCUAAUACCGCAUACGUCCUACGGGAGAAAGCAGGGACCUUCGGGCCUUGCGCUAUCAGAUGAGCCUAGGUCGGAUUAGCUAGUUGGUGAGGUAAUGGCUCACCAAGGCGACGAUCCGUAACUGGUCUGAGAGGAUGAUCAGUCACACUGGAACUGAGACACGGUCCAG
rnacentral:rRNA from 1 species